rnacentral:rRNA from 1 species
UGGGGAAUUUUGCACAAUGGGGGAAACCCUGAUGCAGCGACGCCGCGUGAUUUAGAAGGCCUUCGGGUUGUAAAAAUCUUUUCUAUGGGAAGAAAAUGACAGCACCAUAGGAAUAAGGACCGGCUAAUUACGUGCCAGCAGCCGCGGUAAUACGUAAGGUCCGAGCGUUGUCCGGAAUCAUUGGGCGUAAAGGGUACGUAGGCGGGUAAGCAAGUUAGAAGUGAAAUCCUAUAGCUCAACUAUAGUAAGCUUUUAAAACUGCUCAUCUUGAGGUAUGGAAGGGAAAGUGGAAUUCCUAGUGUAGCGGUGAAAUGCGCAGAUAUUAGGAGGAAUACCGGUGGCGAAGGCGACUUUCUGGCCAUAACCUGACGCUGAGGUACGAAAGCGUGGGUAGCAAACAGG